rnacentral:rRNA from 3 species
UAGCACAGUCUUAACGAUGGAUGUCUUGGUUCCUACAGCGAUGAAGGCCGCAGCAAAAUGCGAUACGCAAUGAAAAUUGCAGUGACUGUGAAUCAUCAGAAUGCUGAAUGUAAACUACACCAAUUCCCUUCGGGGAAUAGUGGUACUCCUACAGAAAAU